CGAAGCUUUGCUUUGUAUCUUUACCUUCAUGUUAGGUUAAAAGCAUCAACUCUGAUUUGAACUCUCUGAGGGCUGCAAUUGAUUGAACAAAGAGCGACCUGACCGCAAAAUUGGAUGGGACUGUAUCAACGAUUGAAAACUUCAAGUCUGAUUUGAACGAUAUGAAGGCUGCAGUAGAUGGAACAAAGAACAACUUUACCGAUUUGAACGGUACUGUAACAAAGGAGACUGGAGACAAGCAACUGGCAAUUAAGGGCUCAUGCGCCUCUAACGCCUUUACGCUCAUGCUAAAAGUCAAGUUUAUAUCAUCCUGAAAGGUAUGAUUAGUUGCAGUUUUCGUUUUUGUUUUUAGAGCCAUCACAACAUCGCUUAGAAUGAGAAUGUCUAAGUAGGUGCGUGUUGGGCGAGUUUCUGCGGUACUUGGUGUAUCUGUUGGCCCGUAGCCCGUACUUAGGCCCCCUCUGAGGAAAACUACAUACGGGCUACGGGCAUCACGUUGUAGGUACUAAGAGCGAGCUCCUCGUGCUCGAGUUUAGAAAUAAAGACUGUUCACGUUGUUCACUGGGUCGUCCUUCCUGCCCAACAUAUCAUUAAAUUACCGUGGUGUAAAUUGAAUCAAGUUAACAAUACCUGUAUGGCCGAUUUUCUGUUAACAGGAACAAGUUAAUGCCAUAUAGACUCUUCGAAUUCACGAAU
rnacentral:lncRNA from 1 species